GACGAACGCUGGCGGCGUGCUUAACACAUGCAAGUCGAACGGUGACGAGGAGCUUGCUCCUCCGAUCAGUGGCGAACGGGUGAGUAACACGUGAGUAACCUGCCCCAGACUCUGGGAUAACAGUUGGAAACAGCUGCUAAUACCGGAUACGAGACGGAGAGGCAUCUCUACCGUCUGGAAAGUUUUUCGGUCUGGGAUGGACUCGCGGCCUAUCAGCUUGUUGGUGAGGUAAUGGCUCACCAAGGCGACGACGGGUAGCCGGCCUGAGAGGGCGACCAGCCACACUGGGACUGAGACACGGCCCAGACUCCUACGGGAGGCAGCAGUGGGGAAUAUUGCACAAUGGGCGAAAGCCUGAUGCAGCGACGCCGCGUGAGGGAUGACGGCCUUCGGGUUGUAAACCUCUUUCAGCAGGGAAGAAGCGAAAGUGACGGUACCUGCAGAAGAAGCACCGGCUAACUACGUG
rnacentral:rRNA from 1 species